rnacentral:rRNA from 1 species
AGUUUGAUCCUGGCUCAGGACGAACGCUGGCGGCGUGCCUAACACAUGUAAGUCGAACGGGACCGGGGGCAACUCCGGUUCAGUGGCAGACGGGUGCGUAACACGUGAAGAACUUGUCCAACGGUGGGGGACAGCCGGCCCAACGGCCGGUUAAUACCGCAUACGAUCGUUUGGGGGCAUCCCUGGGCGAUGAAAGCAGCCGCAAGGUUGCGCCGAUGGAGAGCUUCGCGGCCUAUCAGCUAGUUGGCGGGGUAAUGGCCCACCAAGGCGACGACGGGUAGCUGGUCUGAGAGGAUGGCCAGCCACAUUGGGGCUGAGACACGGCCCAGACUCCUACGGGAGGCAGCAGUGGGGAAUCUUGCGCAAUGGCCGAAAGGCUGACGCAGCGACGCCGCGUGUGGGAUGACGGCCUUCGGGUUGUAAACCACUGUCGGGAGGAACGAAUACUCGGCCUCGAAUAGGGGCCCGAGGGUGACGGUACCUCCAAAGGAAGCACCGGCUAACUCCGUGCCUGCAGCCGCGGUAAUACGGAGGGUGCGAGCGUUGUCCGGAAUCACUGGGCGUAAAGGGCGCGUAGGUGGCUCGUUAAGUGGUCGGUGAAAUCCCGGGGCUCAACUCCGGGGCUGCCGAUCAGACUGGCGGGCUAGAGCACGGUAGGGGCAGAUGGAAUUCCCGGUGUAGCGGUGGAAUGCGUAGAUAUCGGGAAGAACACCAGUGGCGAAGGCGUUCUGCUGGGCCGUUGCUGACACUGAGGCGCGACAGCGUGGGGAGCAAACAGGAUUAGAUACCCUGGUAGUCCACGCCGUAAACGAUGGACACUA